GAUCCUUAAAAUAAUUAAAGUUUUUUGUUACAGUUGUCUUGAUGUUAUCUGCCUAUCCCUAAAAGGCAAAUAGAUAUCAGAAGUCGUUUAAAAUACCAGGAUGUGUUAUAUGGUCACCAUGGAUUUACCCCAAUUUCCUAUAACUGUUAUUUUACAUUGAAAAUAUGUAUUUAUAAUGAUCAGCUUGAAGGAUAGUGACAUCCUGAAUCACCUAAAAAUAAUUCAGCUGUGUUUCCUAGUUGUCAGCGGGGAAGAAAGCAUAAUAAUACUUUCUGGAGAAAAAAAACUCAGCAAGCAAAAAUUAAAACAAAAAUAUUUUAUUAGCCCUCAAUUAACCACAACUUUAAAUUACCCAUAAUACCUGUAUGCCUCGGGCAUUCUAUUAAGGUUUAUUCUGUAUAAAUUCAGCAUAUUUUAUUGUGAUCACAAUAAUGAUAGGCUGUUUACUUUGUCCCAUCCAAAGCCUUUAAAUAAUCUCUAUUCUUAAUACUUUUUCUCUUGUAGUUUUUUUCCCUCCACACUCAAGGAUUCAAUAAAUAACACCCAAAUUUAUAUAACUGAGCCUGACCUAAAGUUCAUUUCUGAUUUUCAGUUUCAAACCAGGCAUUUCUAAAUGUAUUCAAAGGGACUGGCCCCAUGGCGUAGUGGUUAACUUUAGUGUCCUCCACUUCAGCAGCCCAGGUUCUCGGCUUUGGAUCCCAGGUACGUACCUACACCACCUGUCAGCCAUGCUGUGGCAGCAACCCACAUAUAAAAUAGAGGAAGAUUGGCAACAGAUGUUAGCUCAGAGGCAAUCUUCCUCAGCAAAAAAACAAAAAAAAAAAGCUGUGGGACAAUUCAAGAUGGCUAAUAAAGGGGUAACUGGAGGCCCUCAAAGGAGAGAGAGUGUGGGAGAACUAUUUGAAGAAAUAAUGGCCAAAAACAUUCCAGAUUUGAGGAAGACUGUAAACUCAAAGAUCCAAGAAGCUCAACAAACCUCAAGGACAAGAAACAUGAAAAGUACACCAAGGGACAUCAUAAUCAGAUUUCUCAAAAUCAGUAAUAAAAAGAAAAUCUUAAAAGCAGCCAGAGAAAAAAGACAUGUUACAUACAGAGAAACAAAGAUGACCUCAGACUUCUGAUUGAAAACAAUGGAACAUGGGCCGGCCCCAUGGCCAAGUGGUUAAGUUCAUGCGCUCUGCUUCAGCAGCCCAGGGUUUGGAUCCUGGGCGAGGACAUGACACCGCUCAUUAGGCCAUGUUGAAGUGGCGUCCCACAUGCCACAACUAGAAGGACCCACAACUAAAAUAUACAACUAUGUACUGGGGGGGAUUUGGGGAAGAAAAAAAAAAAGCAGAAAGAAAAAGCUUGGCAACAGUUGUUAGCUCAGGUGCCAAUCUUUUAAAAAAAAGAAAACAAUAGAACAACUUAUUUAGAAGAAGUGAAAGAAAAAACUGUUGACCUAGAAUUCUAUAACAGCAAAAAGUAUGAAUUCAGACAAACAAAAGCUGAAAAAAUUCAUCACCAGCAGAUCUGCAUUACAAAAACAAAAAUAGAUUCAUACCUCAAAUUCAUCAGUCUCUAAACCUUAUCAGUUCCCUUCCCGUUUCUUCAAACUUGAAGCACUGUAUAAUGGCUUCAUGAAUGAUUUUAUUAAUUUCACUUUUUUCUCAACUUUCUUCCUAUAAACAACUACCAGAUUAAUUUUCUUAAAACAGUGCUUUGGAUCUUACAUUCUCUUGCCCAAAAACUUUCAAUGACUUGCAGUAUCCAUAUUAAGUUAUACACCAAGCAGUCCUCAGCCUGUUCUUACGUAUUGCAUAAAUCCUCCGUUCCGGUCAAACUGUUCUCCCUUCACCCUUAGCUCUUCCUCUUGCUUGAAAAGACAUUCCUCCUCUUUCUCCUUCGAAGCCUGUUCUUCAAGAACUAGUUUAAGCCCCAUCUUCACCAAGCCUUUCCCACGCCUUGGGUGAUAAAACCAUACUUGAAACCAAGGGUUCUCAAAUUCAGGUUCAUGGCUGACUUCAGGGAGUGUUGGAACUCCUUGUAAUUGUGUUCAAAAUUUUGUGUACAUGUUCACUAUAUCGUCCAAGUCUAUACCUUUCAUCAGAUAUUCAAAGAGGUGUGACUACCUUCCCCCAAAAUGGAAAAAUUACUUCUCCAAACUUCUGUGGCACUUCCCUGAGCUUUUAUUUGACAUGCAUAAUAUCCUAAAAGCAUUAUCUUCUUUUGGUAUUUUUCAGCAAAUGCUAAUUAUCUUGUAUUGAUAUUUACCUUUUAGUAUGUACAUGCUCCCUUUCAACCAGAUUGCAUGCAUACUCAAGGAUAUGAGGGACCUUAUUAGAAUUCUUUGUAUCCUCCAACAUUUAUUUGAAUACCCACAUGUGCCACUCUGUUCUAGCUUUUAGGAUGCAUCAGUAAACAAAAAUCCCUCACUUGCGGAGUUGAUAUUCUUGCAAGGAGAAGACAGGAUAAACAAUAAACACAAACAGGUAAAUUGUGUACUGUAGUGAUUGUGCUAGGAAAAAGCAGCAGAGCGAGAUAAGGGGGAUUGGGGGCCAGCCCCGUGGCUGAGUGGUUAAGUUCGCACACUCCGCUGCGGCGGCCCAGGGUUUCGCCAGUUCAGAUCCUGGACGCAGACGUGGCACUGCUUGUCAGGCCACGCUGAGAUCUAGUCUAGGACAGGGUCGGGAGGAUUCUCCGAAAGAUGAUCUUAAAAGGAGAAUGUUUCUGUUAUCAAUCCGGUCAGACUCUGAGUUUACUGAGGAGGAACCAUCCUUUUUACUCUUUAGAAUUAGAAGAAUCCUCAGUAUAUCAGGAAGCAUGUAGUGAACGCUCAACACGUACCGAAUUUCUCGUUCUCUCCUUUUCCGCCUUCCUCAUAUCUGUGUCGUUUUUUUCUUUUUCUCCCUGGUGUUCCCGUUUUUGCUCCCUUACCGUGCUCCAGUUCCUCACACCUGUCACCCCGUGCUUCCGUGCCUUUGCAUGAGCCGGAUUCUCUGUCCCCCGUGUUCAUCAGAGGGGAGAGAAUGCUGCCUUGUCCUCUAAUCCAAAACUGAAAGUCGCCUCUGCCUGCAUUAUUCCUAAUAGCCAAGACGUGGAAGCAACCCAAGUGCCCAACGACUGAUGAACAGAUAAAGAAGAUGUGGUAUAUAUACACAAUGGAAUACUACUCAGCCAUAAAAAAGACAAAAUCGUCCCAUUUGCAACAAUACGGGUGGACCUUGAGAGUAUUAUGUUAAGCAAAAUAAGCCAGACAGAGAAAGAGAAACACCAUGUGAUUUCACUCAUAUAUGGAAGAUAGAUAAAUACACGGACAAAGGGAACAGUUAAACGGUUACCAGGGGAAGGAGGCUGGAGUGGGCACAAAGGGUGAAGGGGAGCAUUUAUAUGGUGAUGGACAAAUAAUGUACAACUGAAAUUUCACAAUGUUGUAAACUAUUAUGAUAUCAAUAAAAAAAAAAAAGUUUUCCCCCCAGUACCUGUAGCUGCUAUAGUCCC
ensembl:lncRNA